rnacentral:rRNA from 1 species
CCUACGGGAGGCAGCAGUGGGGAAUAUUGCACAAUGGGGGAAACCCUGAUGCAGCGACGCCGCGUGAGUGAAGAAGUAUUUCGGGAUGUAAAGCUCUAUCAGCAGGGAAGAAAAUGACGGUACCUGACUAAGAAGCCCCGGCUAACUACGUGCCAGCAGCCGCGGUAUUACGUAGGGGGCAAGCGUUAGCCGGAUUUACUGGGUGUAAAGUGAGCGGAGACGGCGCGGCAAGUCUGAAGUGAAAGGCAGGGGCUUAACCCGUGAACUGCUUUGGAUACUGCCAUGCUAGAGUGCUGGAGAGGGAAGUAGAAUUCCUAGUGUAGCGGUGAAAUGCGUAGAUAUUAGGAGGAAUACCAGUGGCGAAGGCGGCUCCCUGGACAGUAACUGACGUUGAGGCGCGAAAGCGUGGGGAGCAAACAGGAUUAGAUACCCGAGUAGUC